UCAGGUUGAUUCCCAGACAAUACCAUCUCCCUGAACUGGAGCAACCCUCCAGCAGGCUGGGAGGGAGGGAUGAUCGGGGCGGUGGGUGGGUGGUUCUGGGGUCUGUAGGGUGUGAAUCCUUAGGAAAGGACUGGCUGGACUGCCGGGCUCUCGCGAGGAGAAGCUGAGUCUGAAAUGAAGGAAGACAUCCGGUGUCCCCGCAUCCGGCUCACCGUGAAGCCAGCCGCCUGCUCCUUGCUGGGGCUUCAGAAUGAAAGUUAGAAGGUGAGGACACAGUGAGAAGGUGGCCAUCUGCAAGCCAGGAAAACAGCUCUCAUAAGACACAGGCCCUGCUGGCACCCUGAUCUUGGACUUCCAGGCUCCAGACUGCGAGAAAUAAGUGGCUGUGGUUUAAACCCUCAGUUUGUGGUGUUUUUGUUGUUGCAGCCCAAGGGGAUGAAGACAGCUGUGACAAGAAGAGGAUCUCUUCUGGGAGGCAUUAAUUACAGAGCACUUUGGAAAAUUGGUUCAGUGAAGGCUGGGAGAACUCCCCAGAGCCUUGGUCAGGGCUCUGAGAAGAGGGUGUGCCCCGGUGGCUCUCCUGGAGAAGGAGCUCCAGGCUGUUUGCACCAGAAGUUACCCUUUCGGAGUGUUAAAGCAGCUCAUACACCUUAUUCAAAGUCAGAGCCAAGUUCAAGAAGCUUAUUUGACCUCACUGAACCUCAGCAAUCCCUGGGGCCACUAACUGGGGUCCAGCCUCGUGUGUCAUUGACUGAGAUGAUCUCCUCCUGAGGUUUUCUAACCAACGUGGAACAGUGGAAACUUAAAGGCAGCCACAGGAAAUCCUUAGCUGACGGCUGCUGUACAGAUGUGGCCAUGGCAGGCACUACCAUUCCAGCUCUCCUAAAUAACAGUCUCCAGGGAGACACUUAGAAAUGACAGGGACACUCAGGGCAUCUGUCAGGGCUGUUUUUGCUUUCAUCUCUUCUGGAGAGUGGCAAUGACCUCAACUCACAGUGAUCUCACCCCCUCUGCACGCCUCCAAUACAUUUGGUCUUGACCCUGCCUUUGGGCCCAAGUGUGGACUGUCCAGCAUCUAGGCUGUUUGGGGGCCGGCAGAUUGUAAGCUGCUGGAGGGCAGGGUCUGCAAGGUCCCUACCCUGCUCAGUGCCAGCUUGGUGAUGAUAGCUCGGUGGUGUUGAGCAGAAGGCUGUUUCAACGCCACGUUGCAUUGACAUUAUUGUAAUUCUCUCCCCACCUCCACCCCCGCC